GAUGAACGCUGGCGGCGUGCCUAAUACAUGCCAGUCGAGCGAACGGACGAGAAGCUUGCUUUUCUGAUGUUAGCGGCGGACGGGUGAGUAACACGUGGAUAACCCACCUAUAAGACUGGGAUAACUUCGGGAAACCGGAGCUAAUACCGGAUAAUAUUUUGAACCGCAUGGUUCAAAAGUGAAAGACGGUCUUGCUGUCACUUAUAGAUGGAUCCGCGCUGCAUUAGCUAGUUGGUAAGGUAACGGCUUACCAAGGCAACGAUGCAUAGCCGACCUGAGAGGGUGAUCGGCCACACUGGAACUGAGACACGGUCCAGACUCCUACGGGAGGCAGCAGUAGGGAAUCUUCCGCAAUGGGCGAAAGCCUGACGGAGCAACGCCGCGUGAGUGAUGAAGGUCUUCGGAUCGUAAAACUCUGUUAUUAGGGAAGAACAUAUGUGUAAGUAACUGUGCACAUCUUGACGGUACCUAAUCAGAAAGCCACGGCUAACUACGUG
rnacentral:rRNA from 1 species